GAGGGUAUAGCUCAGCAGUAGAGCACAUGCAUAGCAUGCAUGAGGUCCUGGGUUCAAUCCCCAGUACCUCUA
rnacentral:tRNA from 1 species